GCGUGAGGAACCUGCCUUGGAGAGGGGAAUAACACUCCGAAAGGAGUGCUAAUACCGCAUGAUGCNGUUGGGUCGCAUGGCUCUGACUGCCAAAGAUUUAUCGCUCUGAGAUGGCCUCGCGUCUGAUUAGCUAGUAGGCGGGGUAACGGCCCACCUAGGCGACGAUCAGUAGCCGGACUGAGAGGUUGACCGGCCACAUUGGGACUGAGACACGGCCCAGACUCCUACGGGAGGGCAUG
rnacentral:rRNA from 1 species